rnacentral:lncRNA from 1 species
UAGUUCUAGUUACCUUGUCUUUCAAAAGGUUAGCCAGAUUCUGGUAGAUAGCGAGUGGAUAGAAAUAAUAAGAAAAUGCCAUCACCAGUGGUUUGUUGAAAAUUUAUCGUAGCAGGAUACAAACAUGCAAGGGUCUUACUUCUUUUCAGCCAGUGCUUUUGACCUCAUUCUGUUGAAUCUGCUUUCAAGCCAAUUCCAGUAGUUAAGUCCAGGUCAGUCUAAUAAAAACUCUAAUCAUAUCUGCCCUGUCUCCUAACUCAGGGGUUAUCAAUGCCCAGAGGGGGCAUGAGGGGGGAGAGAGAGGGAACUUGCUGUUAGAUUCCAUUUUCCUUUUUUUUCCCUUCCUUUGGUGUGUUGGGCUAGGGAAGAGGGAGAAGGGAAGAGAAGGGGAAGAUGGAAAUGGAUGUUUGGACACACACGUAAGCUCCUUAGGUAGCCCUGUGGAAGACUCCUGAUUCAUACUUCCUUUCAUGGAAUACCUCUCUCCAGCUUUAGCUCUUCUAAACUCUUCUUUUGGACUCCAGCUUCUUCACCAUCAGAACAUCACAUGGUCACAAGCUCCUGCUGCUUUCUGAAGCAACAGACAGCCCUCCUGAUUAGGGAGCUAGUGCCAUGGCUCAAGCCCUGCUACCUACCACACCAUUCUCUUGACCUGUGAGAAACUCACACAUCCCAUGUCACUACCUGGCUUUACUUGUGUCCCAUCACUUCCUUUCCAUCUGUGUUCAAUUCUCUACUCAGAUAGGGUCUGGGGGCAGAGUGGCACAUCACACUGAGGAAUGAGAUGCCACGUCUCACUUUCAUGCAGACAUCUUCAAUUCCUACAAGGAUCCUUUAGAGGACCCUCUGAUGGACUUUGUGGGUGAACAUUCACCUUCCUACUUCCUUCACUGAGGUGGAGCUUCGGUGCCCCAACCAGACUCAGUAUCAGUCACAAGGGAUUCUAGGAUCUUCAUUUCCUGCCUCCCUUUCCCCCUCUUUAGUCUCCUGUUUAAAAUAUGGGAGAGUGUUCUGAGGGAUGUUUGUGAGCAACAGCUACCUCUUACUAAAUCUUGGAGGGGCCAUCUGUUUUCCAAGUUCUUAGUUUCUUUGCAUUGGAUUAGAACAUGUUCUUUUAGCUCUGAGAAGUUUCUUAUUACCCACCUUCUGAAGGCUGUUUCUGUCAAUUCACGACUCAUUCUCCAUCCA